GCUCCAGCUAGCCCAUCACCUGGCAUGCAGUAGAUGGAUUCAGUAUUUAUGAGAUGAAUGAAUAAUGUCAACCAAAGCGCUAGCUUCAGCCAUUGCCUGUGUGCUGAGGACUCAAAUCAUCUCCAGCCCUUUCUCUUCUGAGCCCUCGACAAAACACCCAACUGCCGAAUAUACAAUAGGAAAACAAAAAGAUGUCCCCUCCUCUUGUGGUCAUCCAGUGGAGGCACGAAGGAAUCCCACCCCUAAUUUGUUUGGAUGUCAAGGCUGAUGAUACCACACAAACACCGAAAGGGUUUGAAAAACUUUAUCACACAUGGGUUAGGAUUCUUCUGGCUUGUCCUUUCCUGGAGGUAUUUCCAGAAGAUUCAGGACCCUGUGGGAUGCUGAGAAUUGGAACUUCCUGUGUGACCUGAUCCCUAUUUAGUGUUCUAGACUUUAAUUAGCUACCUACCCUAAUUUCUUUAGUUAGUAUCUUAGCAUUCCCUGAGCCAAUCCUAAUGACCUAAAAUCUCAUCAACUUCUCUCUGAGGAAAACCAGAACAUUCAGUCCUAUUAUGUCCCCUCCCCGCCUUUUUUUAGAACAGAAAAAAAUGGAGAAAGAAUCAACUACAGUUUUUCAUCUAUGCACACAAUUAUAUUUUUUUCUGGGUCAGAGCUCAGAUCUGAGCUGCAGUUGUGACCUAAGCCGCAGCUGCGGCAACUCUGGAUCCUUAACCCAAUGUGAGGGCAGGGGAUCGAACCUGCGUCCCAACACUCCCAAGAUGCCACCAAUCCUGUUGCACCACAGCAGGAACUCUAAGAAACUAUAAUUACUGAUUAAAAGGUCCUGUUUUGGAGUUCCCGUCGUGGCACAGUGGUUAACGAAUCCGACUAGGAACCAUGAGGUUGCGGGUUCGGUCCCUGCCCUUGCUCAGUGGGUUAACGAUCCGGCAUUGCCGUGAGCUGUGGUGUAGAUCGCAGACGCGGCUCGGAUCCUGCGUUGCUGUGGCUCUGGCGUAGGCUGGCAGCUACAGCUCCGAUUCGACCCCUAGCCUGGGAACCUCCAUAUGCCGCGGGAGUGGCCCAAAGAAAUAG